AAGUUGAAAAAGCGGUGCCUUUUCGGUUUUCGAACAAGCAAUCCUGUCGGGGAUCUGUCUCUCGAGAUUCGGAGAACGGUGCCUCUUUGAUUUUUGAGAAAGCAAUCCUGCUAGGAGUCUGGCUCUCGAGAUUCGGAGAGCGGUGUCUCGUCGCUUUUUGAGAAAGUAAUCGUGUUGGGAGUCUGACUCUCGAGAUUCGGAGGACGGUGCCUCUUCGAUCUUGAAGCAAGCAAUCUUGUUGGGAGUGUUUUCUCGAAUGUGAGUAAAGGUUAGGCCUGUUUGCUAGUCUACCUUGCCACGGAGCACAGAGGUUGACCCACAGGGACUUUCCAAUUAUCCAGCAAUGGUCCUGUUCCUUUACCCUUGUGGGUAAUAAUAUGAUAGCUAGACCUUCAAAAUUUAUGUGUCUAAACUUUGUUAGUGCUGUUUCUUUGCUAUUCUUUUACCCUUCUUGGUCAUAGCGAUGUAAUGGGAGCUGCAAGCUUCACGUGUCUAGACUUUGUCAGAGAUUUUUGGCAAAGUUAUAUGUGGUACCCGUGAGCUGAUGUUGCGUGUGGAAAGUGAAUGAUUGAACAGUAACAUUCACGUGCUUUCUACUUCACUAGAAAUCUGAUGCGUAAAAUAACUAAACACACAAAUUAACCCUCUUGUUGACAAUUGUAGUAUGGAUAAGUAGGGAUCGUUCUUAAACCGGGGAUUAGGAGGGAUUGCUAAAACACUCUAAACUGACUCAAAUCUGUAAAACAAAGUUUAAAAUACGAAACUAGACUCAAAGAAUGCAAAACUAAACUCUAAAACACUAAAACGAACCAAAAGAAUCAAAACAGCAACCAAACACUCAAAACUGCCUAAAAACCACUUUCUGGGCAGUUUUGGGACUCUAACACAACUUGGACGAAUUUUGGUUUCCUAAUGACCUAAAACACCUAAAAACAUAUUCUAAGACAAGUUCUAAGUAAUAUAACUCAAAGAAAUAAGGUGGGGUUGAUUUUGGACGAAAUUAAUUAAAACAAAGCAAGAACAAAGUAACAAAUUUUAAGACAAAGUUAAGUAAAUUGAUGGGUGAUAGAUCAACUAGAGGGUUCUUCUCCACACAUGAUACACUUGCAUUCAACUUUGAUUUCCAAUUGUUUCUUUCAAUGAAUUAUGAAUCUCAACGCCCUAGGUUAACUGUGAUAGCACUUUUUUAACCUUCAAGUUUUCCUAAAAUUAGUGAAUUGGAUGGGAAUGCACAUGCAACAACUCAAAACAUUCUCUAAAAGUUCCUUACGUGAAAAGCACAAUAAAGAUACAAUCAAAGAUCAUUAAGCUUCAUGAAAACUAUAAGCAUUGACGAGGCAAUUGUUACUAUGAAAAGCAUGAAACAUUUGCCAAGAAUUCACUUAACGCGAUCGUUUAUAAGCGACCUCCACUACUUGCAAACAUAAAGUUGUAACUAUUAGGUGAAACUUCCUUAUGUUUUAGCUUCAAAUUCCUGCAUGAAAACUAAGUUGGCCAUCUUAAUUAACACACAAAAAUAAGUCAUCAAUCAAACGGUUAAGCGAAUUGCAUUCACGAUUCAUGAAAUAACAAUUAGACGUAAUCAAUUCAUCUUGCAAGCAUAAUCAUGGUAUUGAAUAACCCCCUAGCCAAAAGGCUUAGUUCCUCAUGUUCACAAAACAAAGGAAACAGAUUCAUACAUUCUAAAUAUAAGAAAGAGAACACCUAAAUAUUCCAACAAUUCGAUAUUGAACGGCUAGAAACUUCAAGUACGUCUUCUUCCUCUCCUUUGCUGCGGCACAGGGACUAUGGGCAGGUUCUUGGGUAUUUGAAUGAUGUAGAAUGGAUGGAGGAUGGAGGAUGUAUGGAAGUGUUUAGGGUUGAUGGGUGGUGCGGCUAGGGUGGUUUUGUGGCAGAAAUUUGGGUGAAUGGUGAAGGAAUGGGGCUGUUGAAGAUGGAGAAUGGUUUCUGGCGUGAAGGAUUAUUUUCUGGAUGAAUG
rnacentral:lncRNA from 1 species